rnacentral:rRNA from 1 species
CAUACAUGCAAGUCGAACGAACUCUGGUAUUGAUUGGUGCUUGCAUCAUGAUUUACAUUUGAGUGAGUGGCGAACUGGUGAGUAACACGUGGGAAACCUGCCCAGAAGCGGGGGAUAACACCUGGAAACAGAUGCUAAUACCGCAUAACAACUUGGACCGCAUGGUCCGAGUUUGAAAGAUGGCUUCGGCUAUCACUUUUGGAUGGUCCCGCGGCGUAUUAGCUAGAUGGUGAGGUAACGGCUCACCAUGGCAAUGAUACGUAGCCGACCUGAGAGGGUAAUCGGCCACAUUGGGACUGAGACACGGCCCAAACUCCUACGGGAGGCAGCAGUAGGGAAUCUUCCACAAUGGACGAAAGUCUGAUGGAGCAACGCCGCGUGAGUGAAGAAGGGUUUCGGCUCGUAAAACUCUGUUGUUAAAGAAGAACAUAUCUGAGAGUAACUGUUCAGGUAUUGACGGUAUUUAACCAGAAAGCCACGGCUAACUACGUGCCAGCAGCCGCGGUAAUACGUAGGUGGCAAGCGUUGUCCGGAUUUAUUGGGCGUAAAGCGAGCGCAGGCGGUUUUUUAAGUCUGAUGUGAAAGCCUUCGGCUCAACCGAAGAAGUGCAUCGGAAACUGGGAAACUUGAGUGCAGAAGAGGACAGUGGAACUCCAUGUGUAGCGGUGAAAUGCGUAGAUAUAUGGAAGAACACCAGUGGCGAAGGCGGCUGUCUGGUCUGUAACUGACGCUGAGGCUCGAAAGUAUGGGUAGCAAACAGGAUUAGAUACCCUGGUAGUCCAUACCGUAAACGAUGAAUGCUAAGUGUUGGAGGGUUUCCGCCCUUCAGUGCUGCAGCUAACGCAUUAAGCAUUCCGCCUGGGGAGUACGGCCGCAAGGCUGAAACUCAAAGGAAUUGACGGGGGCCCGCACAAGCGGUGGAGCAUGUGGUUUAAUUCGAAGCUACGCGAAGAACCUUACCAGGUCUUGACAUACUAUGCAAAUCUAAGAGAUUAGACGUUCCCUUCGGGGACAUGGAUACAGGUGGUGCAUGGUUGUCGUCAGCUCGUGUCGUGAGAUGUUGGGUUAAGUCCCGCAACGAGCGCAACCCUUAUUAUCAGUUGCCAGCAUUAAGUUGGGCACUCUGGUGAGACUGCCGGUGACAAACCGGAGGAAGGUGGGGAUGACGUCAAAUCAUCAUGCCCCUUAUGACCUGGGCUACACACGUGCUACAAUGGAUGGUACAACGAGUUGCGAACUCGCGAGAGUAAGCUAAUCUCUUAAAGCCAUUCUCAGUUCGGAUUGUAGGCUGCAACUCGCCUACAUGAAGUCGGAAUCGCUAGUAAUCGCGGAUCAGCAUGCCGCGGUGAAUACGUUCCCGGGCCUUGUACACACCGCCCGUCACACCAUGAGAGUUUGUAACACCCAAAGUCGGUGGGGUAACCUUUUAGGAACCAGCCGCCUAG